AAGUGAGAAUGCCGGUGUGAGUAGCGAAAGACGGGUGAGAAUCCCGUCCACCGAUUGACUAAGGUUUCCAGAGGAAGGCUCGUCCGCUCUGGGUUAGUCGGGUCCUAAGCUGAGGCCGACAGGCGUAGGCGAUGGAUAACAGGUUGAUAUUCCUGUACCACCUAUAAUCGUUUUAAUCGAUGGGGGGACGCAGUAGGAUAGGCGAAGCGUGCGAUUGGAUUGCACGUCUAAGCAGUAAGGCUGAGUAUUAGGCAAAUCCGGUACUCGUUAAGGCUGAGCUGUGAUGGGGAGAAGACAUUGUGUCUUCGAGUCGUUGAUUUCACACUGCCGAGAAAAGCCUCUAGAUAGAAAAUAGGUGCCCGUACCGCAAACCGACACAGGUAGUCAAGAUGAGAAUUCUAAGGUGAGCGAGCGAACUCUCGUUAAGGAACUCGGCAAAAUGACCCCGUAACUUCGGGAGAAGGGGUGCUCUUUAGGGUUAACGCCCAGAAGAGCCGCAGUGAAUAGGCCCAAGCGACUGUUUAUCAAAAACACAGGUCUCUGCUAAACCGUAAGGUGAUGUAUAGGGGCUGACGCCUGCCCGGUGCUGGAAGGUUAAGAGGAGUGGUUAGCUUCUGCGAAGCUACGAAUCGAAGCCCCAGUAAACGGCGGCCGUAACUAUAACGGUCCUAAGGUAGCGAAAUUCCUUGUCGGGUAAGUUCCGACCCGCACGAAAGGCGUAACGAUUUGGGCACUGUCUCAACGAGAGACUCGGUGAAAUCAUAGUACCUGUGAAGAUGCAGGUUACCCGCGACAGGACGGAAAGACCCCGUGGAGCUUUACUGUAGCCUGAUAUUGAAAUUCGGCACAGCUUGUACAGGAUAGGUAGGAGCCUUUGAAACGUGAGCGCUAGCUUACGUGGAGGCGCUGGUGGGAUACUACCCUAGCUGUGUUGGCUUUCUAACCCGCACCACUUAUCGUGGUGG
rnacentral:rRNA from 1 species